rnacentral:lncRNA from 1 species
CUUUGAUAUUUUAAUAAUUUAUAAAAUUAUUAUUUUGAAAAAAAAGUAUAGCAACAACUUUUAUAUUGCAAAGAUGAAUAUUUGUUGUAUGACUGUUUGUCUUACCACGUCUAGUUGUAGAGUUUUUUUUUUAGAAAUUUGCUAAUAAAGAACAAAAAAACUUAUUAAUUGUCCCCUUAGAAUAGUAUUAGGGAUUUUUGUCCACUUAGAACUAAUGUUAAGGUAAACCCAAUUUUAACCCUCUAAUUAUACAAUUUUUUUUUUAAAAAAAAAACUAAUUUUCAUAGUCCCAUUUACUCAUUAUUUACCCGACUUCAAAAACACGGUUUACCCGUCGCAGAGUUUUCAAGUAUUCUCGCCGGCGUAUCUUCGUUCGUCACCUCCACCUCUCUCUUAAUGACCCACCCGGAAAACUCUGAUAAAUCCUCUCUCUGGCAUCUCUUGAAUAUCUAGUUUCAUCUUUUGUGAGUUUAAAGGUGAAUUUUCGUUAUUUGGUUGUUUGCCUUUGUACAGAGAAAUCGCACGGAUGAUCUGAUGAACAAA